rnacentral:lncRNA from 1 species
GCCGUUGUCUGUGCCAUCACUUGUGUCACAAAAUCCUGACAAGUUUAUGGUCUUCUGUCUGGUAAUUGUCAAAUCAAGCUCUGUAGCUUAUUUUUCUGUGAUGAGGGCAUCUGUGCGCCCUUGUCAAAUAAUGUGUUUGUGUAAGUACAUUGAAUGCCCGAACUUACUUGCGCUACGACAGUUUUUAGUCUGUGUCUGUGAGUGAAGAACUGUACCCGUUUUCUUCGCGUUGUGUUGUGUUUACUGAAUUGUGUUACUAGUAAUAUAUUCAUUAGUGUUACUCUGUUUUUCAUCUUUUUAACCUCGUCUUUGCAUAAACUAGUAUGCUGCUUUAUUUUACAUUUCCUGCAACUUUUGUGUG